rnacentral:tRNA from 1 species
GGCCUCGUGGUGUAGCCGUGAGCACUUCGGACUCUGAAUCUGGCAACCCGAGUUCGGAUCUCAGCGAGGCCU